UAGGAUUACUCCAUGACCAAGCAUCAUCUAUCAGGUGCAACAGUUGUCAUUAGGAAAGUCACAUGUGUUGUUAAAGGAAGUCGUAAGCAAGUGAAGAUUCUAGAUUAAAACAGGGCUUCAAAAGUUCCAUCUCUUGUGGGAAUGGCUUAGAAAUAAUUUGUCAGGAGUUCUUUGAACCUCAAAGUCCACUGCUUUGGUCAUUUCCCAGUGCACUGUGCACAUAAUUCAAGGUCAUGGCAUGUUGCUGGCACCAUUCCUUAUCCAUCUUCUCCACUUGUAUGAAUAUCUCUCUGGCUUUACGGCCAUGCUCAAAUGCCACUUUUCCCUGUGGUUCUCACCGAUCCCCAGCUCCAACACCAAAUCUGUCAUGUACUCAUCUGUGUUCCCAGAAUGCUUCACAGGGACCUCCCCUAUUAAAUCUUUCUCCUGAUCUUCAUACUGCGAGUUCCUCAAGGACAGAGAUUGGAUCCUUUUCAUCUUUGUGUUGCUAGACAACGCGUAGGCCAAGUGGUCAGAACCCUGGAACAAGAAACCCAAGACUUCCAUUAAGUUGCCCAGAAACAGCAGAAAAACAGGCUGAUAAACUCAUUGACUGUGCUCUCUGGACUCAACAAAUGGACUUCGGGCUCAGCCAUCGGCAGCACCAACUCUGCUGUAAUCUGUAAUCAGCCAAUCCAGAGCAGAUGACAGGCGAGGAGACUGAAGCUGAGAGAUUUUCAGUAGUUUGACUAAGUUGAUGGAGAUAAAGAGAGAUCAAGUUGAUAGUCAAACGUAAGUAUGUCUUCCUCCAAAGCCUGGGUUCUUUCUAAUGUGCCAAAAUGUUUCCCUAAAGAAUAAAAAGAGAGGCAUCGACUGGGAAAUUAAGAAGCAGUAAUGUUCUUCCAGAACAGAAUUUUGGAACAAGAUCUAGCUUCUACGUGGCUGUCCAAGACAAAUUUACCACGGGGUCCUUGCAUUUAGCUAAGCUUGUAAUCACCUUGGAGUGUCUGCGUCAGCUGCCCUCUCUGGCUAACAGGCUUUUCCUGCUGACCGUCUCAGGAAGCAGGGCGACCCCUGGUACAUUCCUAUCUCAACUUAAAUGCCCCUGCUCAGCGAGGCCUUUCCUCACCACUCUCCCCCACUGCCCU